rnacentral:rRNA from 1 species
AGCUCCAAUAGCGUAUGUUAAAGUUGUUGCGGCUAAAAAGCUCGUAGUUGGAUUUCUGUUGAGGGCAGCUGGUCCGCUCUAUGAGCGUGCAUCUAGCUUGGCCUCGGCAUCCGUCCUUUUUACUGUGUCUGCGCUUGAUUGCGUGGUGCAUGUGGAGGACCUUUUACUUUGAGGAAAUUAGAGUGUUCACGGCAGGCUUACGCCCUGAAUAUAUUAGCAUGGAAUAAUAAUAUAGGAUCUUGGUUCUAUUUUGUUGGUUUCUA